UACGUAGGGUGCGAACGUUAAUCGGAAUUACUGGGCGUAAAGUGUGCGCAGGCGGCCGCGCAAGUCGAGUGUGAAAGCCCCCGAGCUUAACUUGGGAAUUGCGCUCGAAACUACGUGGCUGGAGUGUGGCAGAGGAAGGUGGAAUUCCACGUGUAGCGGUGAAAUGCGUAGAGAUGUGGAGGAACACCAAUGGCGAAGGCAGCCUUCUGGGCCGAAACACUGACGCUCGAUGCACGAAAGCGUGGGGAGCAACAGG
rnacentral:rRNA from 1 species